rnacentral:lncRNA from 1 species
AGUACAAUGGAGAAAAAUGGAGCAAGAAAGAGAGAAAAGGGAUUGGAAUGACGGGCUAUUUCAAACAGCUUUCUUUAGCUUGCCCAUGGUGAUGUGAAGAUGAGAAGAAAUAGCAAGGCCCAACCAGUUCUUCAUCUGGAGACAGUUCAACGUUCUGCAAACCAGAUCUUCAGGAAUUUUACUGGGAUAAUUAUCCAAAUAAAUUGCAAGCAUUCUAUCCAAAUGAAACUUACAACCAAGUUGAAAAGACAAGAGCCAUAAAAUAAAAUAAUAGCAAAUUAAUAUAAAACCUGGAUAAAGAAUGUAAUAACUAGAUGACCAAUUUGAGAGUGCUUAUUGGGACUUAUGAAGAAAAAGAAAUUGAAAAAAGGAGCUCUUUCUGAGAUGAAGAGAAUUCUCAAUGUCAAGAUUUGAACAAGAAGAGAAUGGAAUACACAAUAUGGACAUCCAUAAAAAUUCAUCAGAGAGCAUUUUACUACUGAGCUGCAAAGGUAGGAAAAAUAAAUUUUUUUUGGUUAGAAAAUAUACUUCUUUCAUCUGCGUUUCAAUAAUUUAUUCCCCUUGUUAGAUAUACAUGGAAUUGAUAUUGCUUAUUCUGACUAAGUGAAAAGUGUUAUUUCUACUUACUGCUCAAUUAGAAACAUGUAGUGUUUAAUUGUCAGUUUGAAUUUUUCUUUCAUACUAUUACAGUUUAUAUUUUACUAUAGGCAGAAUUUCCUCUUUAUCCUAAAUUUUGAUAUUCUCCAUAAUUUCAUCGUGCCUUGACAUUGCUGUAUAUAAUUUCUAUACAUCAGGAAGGCAAUUCUGUGUGCAUGUGUGUGUGUAUAUAUAUAGUUAGAAGUUAGAAACUGAAACUCUUUUUUGUCUACCAUCAUUUCAUAUUUUUCUUGCUAUUUCAAACCUAUAAUUUUUAAAGAAACGACUAACGUAAUCAUUCAUAGAAUAUGCUGUCAGUAACUUAACAAUAUAAAUGUUAACAUGGAGGCAUUUAGUUCAGCAUUUGCUUUACUUAAUAGAGUGCAGAAAAUGUGGCCCUUUUCUCAGUUAGGGUGUAUGUGAAGAUAAAUUUAGAAUUUCUAGACUAGUAAAUACUUCUCUGAUAAUAACUUAAUUAUAGCUAUUUCAAACCAAAUUGUUUAAUUGUGGUGAAUCAUAUGUAAAUUGUUCAGAUGUAGGUCAACACCCACGCCCACAUUCUAGCACCUCUUUCCUAAUUCAAGACAACUUUGCAGUGCCUAAAAGAGCUGAACAGUGCAGAUUAGAGACAUAAGACAAAAAAAAAAAAAAAA